GCUGGGCAUGGUGGCUCAUGCCUGUAAUCCCAACACUUUGGGAGGCCGAGGCGGGUGGAUCACUUGAGGUCAGGAGUUCGAACCAGCCUGGCCAACAUGGUGAAACCCCGUCUCUA
ensembl:misc_RNA Metazoa_SRP Metazoan signal recognition particle RNA